AGAGAGAGAAUAAAAACUAAGCAAUAAACUAAGGUACUAGAAAAUAAGAUAAGAUCCUCCAAAUAAGAUGUCUAAGGGCUAUAUUUAUAGUCUUGCCCAAAAGUAGAAGAAAAAAUCGGAAACAUAAGCUAAAACCGCGCCCAGGGGUUGUCGUCGCUCGAUCGGGCAAUGGGCCGCCCGAUCGGGCGAUCUGCUCGUCAAACUGCACGAUCCCGUAUCUUAAAAACACUAUAUCUCCUUCGUUAUAAGUUUGAAUUAGGCGAGUCACCACUCGUUGGAAAUCCCUUGAAGUCUAGAAUCUAACCCAAUUUGAAUCGCUGCAUUUGGAGUUGUAUAACUUGAGUUAUGAUCAAAAUAGUGGACGAGAUUCAGUUUUCUACUUCUUUCACUAUUCGCUUUGCUUGAAAAUUCUUCCAACUCAAUGUUUGCGCUCUCGUAAGUACAUAAUCUCUUGUAGGGAUUCAAAUGAGUAGAAAAUUCACACAAAUAUGAUAAUUACUACAAUGAUGAACCUGAAACUACAAACACACUACAAGGAGCACAUUAGUACUAAAAAUUGCUCCGAAGAGCUCAUUUGAGAUCAAAAAGUAGUAAGGAACGGGCACUACUAGAAAAAGGGUUAUAGAAACGUCCUUUUAUACAACAGUUUUAGUGGCGUUGCUAUAUCAUAGCCAUUGCAACAGUUAAAUAAUUAUUAAUUUGAGCAUACUAUGACUUUGAAAAAGUGUUGCUAUAAAAAAACUAUAGCAACAAUUGUAUGUUAUGAUUAUUUUAUUGCAACAGUUUUUUUUUUUUUAAAAUAUUUUGAUGAUUUAUUACAACGGUUUUUUUCUCAAGUAUUUAAAACAAGUUAAAAAUUAAAAAUUAAAAAUUAAACAUAAAAAUGACGGAGCAAGAAAUUAAAAUAUUUCAUAUAGGGCUUUUAGGGUUUCCCUCCUUCCCAUCUCUUCAAUAUUCUAUUUCACCCCAAAACCCUUAUACGCUUUUAUCUUCUCCGUUCUUCUUCUCUUUCAUCUUCUAUGUUCUUCUCGAUCCUCUCCGUAUUGUUUCUUGAUGUAAGGCGAAUUGGAGUUUGAAUUUUCUGAAUUGGUAAUUUGGUGUUCGAAUUGGAGAUAAUUGGUGAAUUGCGUUUCUAAAUAGGCAAGAAGAACAAGGUUAUUGGAUGGGGCGUAUAUUCAAGAAUUACAAGCUACUUUUAAUAUGUUAAGAUUUGUAGGGUUUUUGGCACAUAAAUAUUACAUAGGUUUUAAAAAGUAGAGUUAUCGGACCAUGAUUGCAGUAAUUAUUUAUUCUAAUUGAUGCAGUUUUAUAAAUAUUGCUUUUACUAUUCAGAGAAUUGUAAUAGAUAUUAUGCUUAAGAAAUCAAACUAUUUGAAAUGUAUUUUUGGAA